rnacentral:rRNA from 1 species
GGACACGUGGUAUCCUGUCUGAAUAUGGGGGGACCAUCCUCCAAGGCUAAAUACUCCUGACUGACCGAUAGUGAACCAGUACCGUGAGGGAAAGGCGAAAAGAACCCCGGCGAGGGGAGUGAAAAAGAACCUGAAACCGUGUACGUACAAGCAGUGGGAGCACCCUUCGGGGUGUGACUGCGUACCUUUUGUAUAAUGGGUCAGCGACUUAUAUUCUGUAGCAAGGUUAACCGUAUAGGGGAGCCGGAGGGAAACCGAGUCUUAACCGGGCGUUAAGUUGCAGGGUAUAGACCCGAAACCCGGUGAUCUAGCCAUGGGCAGGUUGAAGGUUGGGUAACACUAACUGGAGGACCGAACCGACUAAUGUUGAAAAAUUAGCGGAUGACCUGUGGCUGGGGGUGAAAGGCCAAUCAAACCGGGAGAUAGCUGGUUCUCCCCGAAAGCUAUUUAGGUAGCGCCUCGUGAAUUCAUCUCCGGGGGUAGAGCACUGUUUCGGCUAGGGGGCCAUCCCGGCUUACCAACCCGAUGCAAACUGCGAAUACCGGAGAAUGUUAUCACGGGAGACACACGGCGGGUGCUAACGUCCGUCGUGAAGAGGGAAACAACCCAGACCGCCAGCUAAGGUCCCAAAGUCAUGGUUAAGUGGGAAACGAUGUGGGAAGGCCCAGACAGCCAGGAUGUUGGCUUAGAAGCAGCCAUCAUUUAAAGAAAGCGUAAUAGCUCACUGGUCGAGUCGGCCUGCGCGGAAGAUGUAACGGGGCUAAACCAUGCACCGAAGCUGCGGCAGCGAACGUAUCACCCAAGACAACUUUACGGAGUUGACGAUUGACGGAGCGAAGCGACGUCAAAGCGUUCAUUAAAGUCGAGUUGGCUUAGGGAUACGUUCGUUGGGUAGGGGAGCGUUCUGUAAGCCUGUGAAGGUGUGUCGUGAGGCAUGCUGGAGGUAUCAGAAGUGCGAAUGCUGACAUAAGUAACGAUAAAGCGGGUGAAAAGCCCGCUCGCCGGAAGACCAAGGGUUCCUGUCCAACGUUAAUCGGGGCAGGGUGAGUCGACCCCUAAGGCGAGGCCGAAAGGCGUAGUCGAUGGGAAACGGGUUAAUAUUCCCGUACUUGGUGUUACUGCGAAGGGGGGACGGAGAAGGCUAUGUUGGCCGGGCGACGGUUGUCCCGGUUUAAGCGUGUAGGUGUGUGUUCCAGGUAAAUCCGGUUCACUUUAACACUGAGGCGUGACGACGAGGCACUACGGUGCUGAAGCAACAAAUGCCCUGCUUCCAGGAAAAGCCUCUAAGCAUCAGGUAACAC